rnacentral:rRNA from 1 species
CCUACGAGUGGCUGCAGUGGGGGAUAUUGCACAAUGGGGGGAACCCUGAUGCAGCGACGCAGCGUGGGUGAAGAAGCGCCUCGGCGCGUAAAGCCCUGUCAGCAGGGAAGAAAAUGACGGUACGUGAAGAAGAAGCACCGGCGAACUACGGGCCAGCAGCCGCGGGAAUACGGAGGGGGCAAGCGUUAUCCGGAUUUACUGGGUGUAAAGGGGGCGCAGAUGGGGAUUCAAGCCAGUAGUGAAAGCCCGGGGCACAACCGCGGGACUGCUAUUGGAACUGGGUGGCUGGAGUGCAGGAGGGGCAGGCGGAAUGCCUGGUGUAGCGGUGAAAUGCUUAGAUAUCAGGAGGAACACCGGUUGCGAAGGCGGCCUGCUGAACUGCAACUGACGUUGAGGCCCGAAAGCGUGGGUAGCAAACAGGAUUAGAUACCCGUGUAGUC